rnacentral:rRNA from 1 species
CCUACGGGAGGCAGCAGUAGGGAAUCUUUCACAAUGGGCGAAAGCCUGAUGGAGCAACGCCGCGUGCAGGAUGAAGGCCUUCGGGUUGUAAACUGCCUUUAUAAGCGAGAAAUAUGAUGGUAACUUAUGAAUAAGGAUCGGAUAACUACGUGCCAGCAGCCGCGGUCAUACGUAGGAUCCGAGCAUUAUCCGGAGUGGCUGGGCGUAAAGAGUUGCGUAGGUGGCAUAAUAAGUAGCUAGUGAAAUCUGGUGGCUCAACCAUUCAGACUAUUAGCUAAACUGUUAAGCUCGAGACCGUGAGGGGUAACUGGAAUUUCUAGUGUAGGAGUGAAAUCCGUAGAUAUUAGAAAGAACACCGAUAGCGUAGGCAGGUUACUGGAGCGGUUCUGACACUAAGGCACGAAGGCGUAGGGAGCGAACGGGAUUAGAUACCCGAGUAGUC